rnacentral:lncRNA from 1 species
AAAUUUCGCUCAGAAUCAUUUGGUUUUUCGCCCAGAAUGAACGUAUUGACUGCCGCUACCAUCGGGAUCAUUAUCCUGUUGCUCCUUGGAAAUAUUUCGGGACGAUUCGACGCAGGAGAACUAAACGCCAAAAAAGAAAAUGGCACCGAUCAGGCUUUUGGCAGCAAUCCAUUUGAUGGUAACAUAGGUUGAAGGAAAUAGAGGUUCGAGUUAGUGGAGGAGUACUGGCAUUAAACAGGAAGAUAGCAUCCGGCGCAAUUACUAGAACUCGUCAAUUGUAAAUGUCUGUUGAAAUAUAUAUUAAACAUCGUUUGUACUGUGCUCAAAAAAAUAUUUAAUAUUUAUU